AUUGAACGCUGGCGGCAGGCCUAACACAUGCAAGUCGAGCGGAUGAAGGGAGCUUGCUCCUGGAUUCAGCGGCGGACGGGUGAGUAAUGCCUAGGAAUCUGCCUGGUAGUGGGGGAUAACGUCCGGAAACGGGCGCUAAUACCGCAUACGUCCUGAGAGAGAAAGUGGGGGAUCUUCGGACCUCACGCUAUCAGAUGAGCCUAGGUCGGAUUAGCUAGUUGGUGGGGUAAAGGCCUACCAAGGCGACGAUCCGUAACUGGUCUGAGAGGAUGAUCAGUCACACUGGAACUGAGACACGGUCCAGACUCCUACGGGAGGCAGCAGUGGGGAAUAUUGGACAAUGGGCGAAAGCCUGAUCCUGCCAUGCCGCGUGUGUGAAGAAGGUCUUCGGAUUGUAAAGCACUUUAAGUUGGGAGGAAGGGCAGUAAGUUAAUACCUUGCUGUUUUGACGUUACCAACAGAAUAAGCACCGGCUAACUUCGUG
rnacentral:rRNA from 1 species